rnacentral:rRNA from 1 species
UACAGAGGGUGCAAGCGUUAAUCGGAAUUACUGGGCGUAAAGGGUGCGUAGGCGGUUAUGUAAGUUAGAUGUGAAAUCCCCGGGCUUAACCUGGGAACUGCAUUUAAUACUGUAUAGCUAGAGUAGAGUAGAGGGGAGUGGAAUUUCCGGUGUAGCGGUGAAAUGCGUAGAUAUCGGAAAGAACACCAGUGGCGAAGGCGGCUCCCUGGACUCAUACUGACGUUGAGGCACGAAAGCAUGGGUAGCAAACAGG